UACGUAGGGGGCAAGCGUUGUCCGGAUUUAUUGGGCGUAAAGAGCGUGUAGGCGGCUUGGUAGGUCUUGCGUCAAAACCUGAGGCUCAACCUCAGUUCGCGUGGGAAACCACCUAGCUAGAGUCCGGUAGGGGAGUGUGGAAUUCCCGGUGUAGCGGUGAAAUGCGCAGAUAUCAGGAGGAACACCAAUUGCGAAGGCAGCUCGCUGGAACGUAACUGACGCUGAGACGCGAAAGCGUGGGGAGCAAACAGG
rnacentral:rRNA from 1 species